AAUCGUGGGCGCACGAUAGCCGCUGGUCCGGGACUUUUAUGUUAUCGUGCGCCACCGCACCUUUUGACCCCUCCCCUCGCUCCAUUUAAAUACCCCCGGAGCCAGGGUCCCCGGCGUACCUCGGAGUCGGUAGGAAGAUUAAUCUACGCGAUGGCUGAGACUGUGGUCCUUAAAGUUGGCAUGUCCUGUCAAGGCUGUGUUGGAGCUGUCAAGAGGGUCCUAGGCAAAAAUGGAAGGUGUCGAAUCCUUCGAUGUGAACCUGGAGGAGCAGAAGGUAACUGUGAAAGGCAAUGUAAAACCUGAUGCUGUUCUACAGACUGUUUCAAAGACAGGAAAGAAAACUUCGUUCUGGGAUGCAGAACCAGCAACCAAGGAGACUGCUCCUGCAGCAGCAGCAGCUGCUUCUCCUACUGCUGCAUGACUGUUAACUUAUGUCUACUAUCUCCUGUAAACUGAUGAACCACUACUUGGUCCACAUUUAUGUAACCUUUUGUCUGUGAAGUGUGCUAUGAAUGAUUGUGAACAUUUUGCAGUUAAUAUGAUAUAAUCUCUUAGCUACUUGUCUA